rnacentral:tRNA from 1 species
GCCGAGGUAACUCAGAUGGUUAGAGUGCCACGCUCAUAACGUGGAAGUCGCGGGUUCAAGUCCCGCCCUCGGCA